GUAGCAGCAUCGAUGUAAUCCUCAAGGCGAAGGGCCGGAGGCCUGAGUGGAGACCGCUGCCGCGCCAUUACCGCUAUCGACUCCAGCAAGGCAGCUAGUCAGCGCUCGUAGACAGCUGCCAACAACGAAGCCCUUGCCGUGGCCACCUGGAGCACGCAGUGGUUCGUGGUCAGCGCGUCUACCUGAGCUGUACUGGUGAAACGCCAUGUCUUUCGCGACAGCGUUCUUAAGGAUCAUUGUAAUGUCGCUGUUCAUCGAGCUGCCGGGGUGGUUUCUUCACACCAUAGGAUUCGGGCCGGUGGGCGUAAAGUCGCGCAGUAUUGCAGCCAAGUGGCAGUCUCUGCACCACGGCCGCAUCAGAAAAGAUGACCUCUUCGCCACACUGCAACAGUGGGGAAUGCUGGGUCUACCUUUCAUGGUCAAGAUGUUCCUCGCUUUCGCUGGAUUCAUAAUGAGCUCCAUUCUUCUAGUAUAGAAUUAGUACAGACGUUUUCCAAAUCGCCCGUGCGUUGAGCGUGGUGCAGGAAACAGGCAGAAAGACCCAACGGUGGAUGAUUCAAAGAGAACGGAGAUUUGCAGUCUCAAUAAA